AGCUGCAUUAUUUGACGUUAGCGACAGAAGAAGCACCGGCUAACUACGUGCCAGCAGCCGCGGUAAUACGGAGGGUGCGAGCGUUAAUCGGAAUUACUGGGCGUAAAGCGCAUGCAGGUGGUUUGUUAAGUCAGAUGUGAAAGCCCGGGGCUCAACCUCGGAAUUGCAUUUGAAACUGGCUGACUAGAGUUCUGUAGAGGGGGGUAGAAUUUCAGGUGUAGCGGUGAAAUGCGUAGAGAUCUGAAGGAAUACCGGUGGCGAAGGCGGCCACCUGGACAGAUACUGAC
rnacentral:rRNA from 1 species